UACGAAGGGGGCUAGCGUUGUUCGGAAUUACUGGGCGUAAAGCGUGCGCAGGCGGCUUCUCAAGUCAGGGGUGAAAGCCCAGAGCUCAACUCUGGAAUUGCCUUUGAGACUGAGAGGCUUGAGUACGGGAGAGGUGAGUGGAAUUCCCAGUGUAGAGGUGAAAUUCGUAGAUAUCGGGAGGAACACCAGUGGCGAAGGCGGCGAUCUGGGAAGAUACUGACGCUGAGGUGCGAAAGCUAGGGGAGCAAACAGG
rnacentral:rRNA from 1 species